rnacentral:rRNA from 1 species
AGCGAACGCUGGCGGCAGGCCUAACACAUGCAAGUCGAACGAACUCUUCGGAGUUAGUGGCGGACGGGUUAGUAACACGUGGGAACGUGCCUUUUGGUUCGGAAUAACUCAGGGAAACUUGUGCUAAUACCGAAUGUGCCCUUCGGGGGAAAGAUUUAUCGCCAUUAGAGCGGCCCGCGUCUGAUUAGCUAGUUGGUGAGGUAACGGCUCACCAAGGCGACGAUCAGUAGCUGGUCUGAGAGGAUGACCAGCCACACUGGGACUGAGACACGGCCCAGACUCCUACGCGAGGCAGCAGUGGGGAAUCUUGCGCAAUGGGCGAAAGCCUGACGCAGCCAUGCCGCGUGAAUGAUGAAGGUCUUAGGAUUGUAAAAUUCUUUCACCGGGGACGAUAAUGACGGUACCCGGAGAAGAAGCCCCGGCUAACUUCGUG